CCUACGGGUGGCAGCAGUGGGGAAUAUUGGACAAUGGGCGAAAGCCUGAUCCAGCCAUGCCGCGUGUGUGAAGAAGGCCUUCGGGUUGUAAAGCACUUUCAGUGGGGAAGAAAGCCUUGGGGCUAAUACCCUCGAGGAAGGACAUCACCCACAGAAGAAGCACCGGCUAACUCCGUGCCAGCAGCCGCGGUAAUACGGAGGGUGCGAGCGUUAAUCGGAAUUACUGGGCGUAAAGCGCGCGUAGGCGGUCUGAUAAGCCGGUUGUGAAAGCCCCGGGCUCAACCUGGGAACGGCAUCCGGAACUGUCAGGCUAGAGUGCAGGAGAGGAAGGUAGAAUUCCCUGUGUAGCGGUGAAAUGCGUAGAGAUCGGGAGGAAUACCAGUGGCGAAGGCGGCCUUCUGGACUGACACUGACGCUGAGGUGCGAAAGCGUGGGUAGCAAACAGGAUUAGAUACCCCAGUAGUC
rnacentral:rRNA from 1 species